rnacentral:rRNA from 1 species
UACGAAGGGGGCUAGCGUUGCUCGGAAUCACUGGGCGUAAAGCGCACGUAGGCGGGUCCUUAAGUCGGGGGUGAAAUCCCGGAGCUCAACUCCGGAACUGCCUUCGAUACUGGGGACCUCGAGUCCGGGAGAGGUGAGUGGAACUGCGAGUGUAGAGGUGAAAUUCGUAGAUAUUCGCAAGAACACCAGUGGCGAAGGCGGCUUUCUGGUCUGUAACUGACGCUGAGGCGCGAAAGCGUGGGGAGCAAACAGG